GUUUGUAUUUGACGAAUCACCGAUCACUAAUGUACUCUAGAUGAUCCCAGUCUCAUUUUGUUUUAUUUUUUCAUAGCCUCGAUUACUUUGGUAAGUAAACAAAAUUAUUACGGUGUUUAAUAACAUCGUGUUUGGAACAACUGCCAUUAAUCCGAAUAAUUUGAAGAUUCCGAGGUCUUGCAUUUUUGACCCCAACAUUGUUGUUUCA